AGUGAACGCUGGCGGCAGGCCUAACACAUGCAAGUCGAACGAACCUACCGGGGGUAGUGGCGGAUGGGUGUGGAGCACGUCGGAACGGUCCUUUAUGUUCGGAAUAACUCUGGGAAACUUGUGAUAAUACCGAAUGUGCCCUUCGGGGGGAAGAUAUAUCGCAUUUAGAGCGGCACGCGUCGGAUUAGCUAGUUGGUUGAGGUAAUGGCGCACCAGGGCGACGAUAAGUAGCUGGUAAGUGAGGAUGAUCACAGACAUUGGGACUGAGACACGGCCCAAACUCCUACGGGAUGGAGCAGUGGGUGAUCUUGCGAAAUCGGCGAAAUGCUGACGCAGCCAUGCCGCGUGAAUGAUGUAGGUCUGAGGGUUGUAAAAUUCUUUCACCGGGGACGAUAAUGACGGUACCCGAAGAAGAAGCCCCGGCUAACUUCGUG
rnacentral:rRNA from 1 species